AAGGAAUAUUGGUCAAUGGACGCAAGUCUGAACCAGCCAUGCCGCGUGAAGGAUGAAGGUCCUCUGGAUUGUAAACUUCUUUUGUCUGGGACGAAAACGGGAUUUUUAUCUCAAUUGACGGUACCAGAGGAAUAAGCACCGGCUAACUCCGUGCCAGCAGCCGCGGUAAUACGGAGGGUGCGAGCGUUAUCCGGAUUUACUGGGUUUAAAGGGUGCGUAGGUGGGCUUAUAAGUCAGUGGUGAAAUCUCCGAGCUUAACUUGGAAACUGCCGUUGAUACUAUAGGUCUUGAAUUAUCUGGAGGUAAGCGGAAUAUGUCAUGUAGCGGUGAAAUGCUUAGAUAUGACAUAGAACACCAAUUGCGAAGGCAGCUUACUACAUAUAAAUUGACGCUGAGGCACGAAAGCGUGGGGAUCAAAC
rnacentral:rRNA from 1 species